rnacentral:rRNA from 1 species
CCCUUAGAUGUUCUGGGCCGCACGCGCGCUACACUGAUGCAUUCAACGAGUUUCUUCCUGGUCCGAGAGGAAUGGGUAACCUUUUGAAAGUGCAUCGUGUUAGGGAUAGACUAUUGCAAUUAUUGGUCUUCAACGAGGAAUUCCUAGUAGACGUAGUUCAUCAGACUGCAUCGAUUACGUCCCUGCCCUUUGUACACACCGCCCGUCGCUCCUACCGAUUGAAUGCUCAGGUGAGCCAUUCGGACUUUCAUCAUGCUGGUUUCCAGUUUUGAUGAAGGAAAGUCUUGCGAACCUUAUCAUUUAGAGGAAGGAGAAGUCGUAACA